GUUUUCCAUGCAGCUAAAGUAUAGACUACAAAUAUUAUAAGUCUAGGAAGUUAAUGAGGGGAAGGCACCAACAUUUAUGCAGCCUUUCAGGAGCAGGACUGCUGCAGGCGACAGCAAAGCAAUGCCAUGCAGAGGGUUAUUUAAAUGGGGGAAAUUAAGGAUUGGAGCCAGUAAGAGAGAAGACUGGAGGAAUACAAGGAGAAAACCAAAACAAAACAAAUGUCAGUACCUGUUCCUCAGUAUCUUCUUACUCCCCAUUUCAUCGUUGUGGGCUAGAGUUUAUACGUGGGACGCCUACCACAGCAUGGCUGCCAAGCGGUGCCAUGUCUGCACCCG
rnacentral:lncRNA from 1 species